UUCAUUGUCCUGUUUGGAGAGCUGAGUGGUGUGAGUGGGUGUGGUGACCGAGUGUCCUCCCUCCUCCCCCUCUGUGCUGAGACACUACAACACAGACACUACCCUCAACACAUCAAUCUCCUGGAGACACUGCUCAAACUGAUGAGAUGGGUGAUAAAAGGAUACUCGUUGUAUCAUUCACACUGUAAAAAGAGAUGUGCCAUUAUAGCACGCGUGUAGCGUGUUACACAUGUGCCAAACUCUUAAAGUGUGUUAUUUACCCUCUAGAAAGGUUUAUCACAGUUAAAAGUAUGUCAUUUUGACCCACUGAAAACGACCCAUUACACAUGUGUCGUUUCUUAUGUACAUUACAUAUAAACAUGAUUGUUACAAGUGAUAACACAAUCACUUGUAAAAAUCAUACUUCAUAUGUCCCCCUGGCCCAGGCAACAAAUGUGACAUAGUAAAUAAAGGCAUUAAGACUGUUUAAAUGGUAGCUAGCUAGUUAGUUCAACCAAGUAUAGUACAGUACAGUCGAGACAACUGUUCACUUCAAAGAAUUGAACUGCUGGAACCACCCUCAACUCUGAAACUACCCAGUUUUUCAGUGAAUUGAUAGACUCUACUUGUUUUUUUGGCUGAUGAGUCAGUAAUUCUCCUUUCUCAACAAUGGCAGACUCCUUCGAUUGUGAUAGUGUACGAAACAGAGGGCUCAAAGGUAGGCCAUCCUAACCACCCUCCAAGUGAGCUAGCUGUCUGAAUCUUAAUACUGGUCCCUGUCAGGGCACAAAUUUGAGGUAUAGGCCUUCCUAACCACCCUCCAAGUGAGCGCUAGCUGUCUGAAUCUUAAUACUGGUCCGAAAUAGGUGUGAAGUACAAGUUCAAAGGACUAAAGGACUGUAUAGUAAACACUUAUAAUGGAAUGGAUGCAUGCAUGCAAGUUUUGCAAACACUUCUGUUUCAUUUUCAGUUACUAUAGACUCGUUAUUAUUGUUUAUUAUUGAAAUGGCGUUAAUUGGAAUGAUUAAUAACACGUGCCAAAAUGACCCGCUAGAAGUGGGUCAAAUCAACACACCUUCAAUUUGACAUACGUGUAGCAUGUCAUUUGGAGGGACAAUCAAAUGACACGCGUGUCAGUGUUAAAACAACCCACU